rnacentral:rRNA from 1 species
CCUACGGGAGGCAGCAGUGGGGAAUAUUGGGCAAUGGGCGCAAGCCUGACCCAGCGACGCCGCGUGGGUGAAGGAGUAUUUCGGUAUGUAAAGCCCUAUCAGCAGGGAAGAACAAUGACGGUACCUGACUAAGAAGCACCGGCUAAAUACGUGCCAGCAGCCGCGGUAAUACGUAUGGUGCAAGCGUUAUCCGGAUUUACUGGGUGUAAAGGGAGCGCAGGCGGCGCGUUAAGCCUGGUGUGAAAGCCCGCGGCCCAACCGCGGGACUGCAUUGGGAACUGGCGCGCUGGAGUGCCGGAGGGGUAGGCGGAAUUCCUAGUGGAGCGGUGAAAUGCGUAGAUAUUAGGAGGAACACCAGUGGCGAAGGCGGCCUACUGGACGGUGACUGACGCUGAGGCUCGAAAGCGUGGGGAGCAAACAGGAUUAGAUACCCGUGUGGUC